UAAAUAAACGAUAAUCUCAUAUUGUAUCUAAUUGAUGUGAUGAU
rnacentral:guide_RNA from 1 species